UACGUAGGGGGCAAGCGUUGUCCGGAUUUAUUGGGCGUAAAGAGCGUGUAGGCGGCCAGAUAGGUCCGUUGUGAAAACUCGAGGCUCAACCUCGAGACGCCGAUGGAAACCAUUUGGCUAGAGUCCGGAAGAGGAGAGUGGAAUUCCUGGUGUAGCGGUGAAAUGCGCAGAUAUCAGGAAGAACACCCGUGGCUAAGGCGGGCCUCUGGGCAACAACUGACGCUGAGGAGCGAAAGCGUGGGGAGCGAACAGG
rnacentral:rRNA from 1 species